GGUUGGGAAGUGAUGUGACAUUCACCAUAUAGCCCUGACCUCUCACCAUCAGAUUACCAUUUAUUUCGAAGUUUGCAAAAUUCUUUGAAUGAUAAUACUUUCA